GCUGAUGUAGCUCAGCUGGUAGAGCAGCUGAUUCGUAAUCAGCAGGUCGUCGGUUCGAAUCCGACCAUCAGCUCCA
rnacentral:tRNA from 1 species